rnacentral:rRNA from 1 species
GUCUAUGGCCAUGCUACCCUGAACAAGCCCAAUCCCGUCUGAUCACAGAAGCUAAGCAGGGUCGGGCCUGGUUAGCACUUGGAUGGGAGACCACCUAGGAAGACCAGGUGCUGUAGGCA